AGGAAUAUUGGUCAAUGGGCGAGAGCCUGAACCAGCCAAGUAGCGUGCAGGAUGACGGCCCUAUGGGUUGUAAACUGCUUUUAUAAGGGAAUAAAGUGAGAGUCGUGACUCUUUUUGCAUGUACCUUAUGAAUAAGGACCGGCUAAUUCCGUGCCAGCAGCCGCGGUAAUACGGAAGGUCCGGGCGUUAUCCGGAUUUAUUGGGUUUAAAGGGAGCGUAGGCCGGAGAUUAAGCGUGUUGUGAAAUGUAGACGCUCAACGUCUGCACUGCAGCGCGAACUGGUUUCCUUGAGUACGCACAAAGUGGGCGGAAUUCGUGGUGUAGCGGUGAAAUGCUUAGAUAUCACGAAGAACUCCGAUUGCGAAGGCAGCUCACUGGAGCGCAACUGACGCUGAAGCUCGAAAGUGCGGGUAUCGAACAGGAUUAGAUACCCUGGUAGUCCGCACGGUAAACGAUGGAUGCCCGCUGUUGGCCUGAAUAGGUCAGCGGCCAAGCGAAAGCAUUAAGCAUCCCACCUGGGGAGUACGCCGGCAACGGUGAAACUCAAAGGAAUUGACGGGGGCCCGCACAAGCGGAGGAACAUGUGGUUUAAUUCGAUGAUACGCGAGGAACCUUACCCGGGCUUGAAUUGCAGAGGAAGGAUUUGGAGACAAUGACGCCCUUCGGGGCCUCUGUGAAGGUGCUGCAUGGUUGUCGUCAGCUCGUGCCGUGAGGUGUCGGCUUAAGUGCCAUAACGAGCGCAACCCCUCUCCUUAGUUGCCAUCAGGUCAUGCUGGGCACUCUGGGGACACUGCCACCGUAAGGUGUGAGGAAGGUGGGGAUGACGUCAAAUCAGCACGGCCCUUACGUCCGGGGCUACACACGUGUUACAAUGGCAGGUACAGAGAGACGGUCCCUUGCAAAAGGGAUCAAAUCCUCAAAGCCUGUCUCAGUUCGGACUGGGGUCUGCAACCCGACCCCACGAAGCUGGAUUCGCUAGUAAUCGCGCAUCAGCCAUGGCGCGGUGAAUACGUUCCCG
rnacentral:rRNA from 1 species